rnacentral:tRNA from 1 species
GCCCGACUGGCGCAAUGGUUAGCGCGCAAGAUUUCUAAUCUUGAGGUUGCCGGUUCGACCCCGGCGUUGGGCU